GCUGGGGGUCGCAGGGAAUGGUCGCUUCUCACCAAGGUCAUCAGAAGGUUGCACCAUUAUGGGCUGCAGCGACACAGGGCUAGGCCGGCAGCUCAAGGCUGGGGAGCUCCGGGGGGUUUCCAAGGCCCCUGUGCACUGCCACACACAGGCAAAGCCCCCACGAUGUCCAGGAUCCAAGCUCCAGUCUGAGCUGCUGACUCGGGAAAGCACUUACGGCAACAGUGACAGAGUAAAGCAAGAAAGGGACGGGGCACGGAGGGCCCGUGCAGAGAAAACUACAAAACUUAACUGAAAGACAAAAAAGACCUAGGUAAAAAGCUAAAUUUGGGAGGCCGAGGUGGGCGGAUCACAUAAGGUCAGGAGUUCGAGACCAGCCUGACUAACACGUGUGUUGAGUUUUUUUUUUCUUUUAUGGAUCCCCGUCUAUACUAAAAAUACAAAAAUUAAGUGGGCGUGGUGGUGCAUGUCUCUAAUUCCAGGUGCUCAGGAGGCUGAGGCAGGAGAAUCGCUUGAACCCAGGAGGUAGAGGUUGCAGUGAGCCAAGAUCGCGCCACUGCACCGAGAUCGCGCCAUUGCACUCCACCCUGGGCAACAGAGACUCUGUCUCAAAAAAAAAAAAAGUAAAAAGCUAGGCACGCAGCAUACAAAGCCAGUUUCCAACAGGUCUGCCUAAUUCUCAGGAAGCAUCUGCCUGCUCGGGAGAGAUGGGGCUGAGGCUGGAGUCUCCCCGGCCUGGCUCUGCCAGCAUCGAAGUUGGCCACAGGCUGCCCAUCCCCACUGAGGCACAGGGGAAAUUUUACAUCUAAAAAGUACAGCAG
rnacentral:lncRNA from 1 species